AAUCGGGCCAAUUACAGCAGAGAGAGGGGUCCCAGUCAGUAUCACUUCCAGAGGCAUCUCUUGGUCCCACAUCCCACCCUUUGGUCAGAACAGCAAUGGGAGUGUCCAGGCAUGGUCAACGGGUGCUUGCCACGUAUACGCAGUACAGGCACUCCACGUUCUAAGCGGACGGAAGCUGCCCAUCGAGCAGACAGGAGGAAGCGCAGAGCGUAACCAUCCGUGCUGUUGCUAUGCCACGCUGUCCUGCGGGACGUGGCCUCCGACUGCCAUGGGCUGGUGCCGACUUUCAUUUGGAAGAAAUCCAUUUUCAUACAAAGGUAACCAAGAGUGACAGGAAAUAGGAAGCCUACAUCAUUUAUCUUCUGUGAACUUUAGAAAAAAUCAGUUAAUUGCUUUUCUAGGAAGCUAUUUUAUGGAAUCGCCGUGCUUCAUCUUUCUAUUCUUUUUCAUGGCAUAAACGGCAAUUUUUAAAUGCCCUUCAUGAAAAUUCUAUGAUUAAUCAAUACAUCUUAGACUAUUUAAUUACUUAUUUUAACAAAUAAAAUUCUGAUCAACCAU